rnacentral:rRNA from 1 species
GACGUAGGGCGCGAGCGUUGUCCGGAUUUAUUGGGCGUAAAGAGCUCGUAGGCGGCUUGUCGCGUCGGCUGUGAAAACCCGCGGCUCAACUGUGGGCGGGCAGCUGAUACGGGCAGGCUGGAGUUCGGUAGGGGAGACUGGAAUUCCUGGUGUAGCGGUGAAAUGCGCAGAUAUCGGGAGGAACACCAGUGGCGAAGGCGGCUCUCUGGGGUAUUUCUGACGCUGAGGCACGAAAGCCAGGGGAGCGAACGGG